UACGUAGGGUGCAAGCGUUGUCCGGAAUUAUUGGGCGUAAAGAGCUCGUAGCGGUCUGUCGCGUCGGCUGUGAAAACCCGAGGCUCAACCUCGGGCCUGCAGUCGAUACGGGCAAACUAGAGUACUGCAGGGGAGACUGGAAUUCCUGGUGUAGCGGUGAAAUGCGCAGAUAUCAGGAGGAACACCGGUGGCGAAGGCGGGUCUCUGGGCAGUGAACUGACGCUGGAG
rnacentral:rRNA from 1 species